rnacentral:rRNA from 1 species
GACGUAGGGCGCGAGCGUUGUCCGGAUUUAUUGGGCGUAAAGAGCUCGUAGGCGGCUCAUUGCGUCAACCGUGAAAACCAGCAGCUCAACUGUUGGCUUGCGGUUGAUACGGGUGGGCUGGAGUUCGGUAGGGGAGACUGGAAUUCCUGGUGUAGCGGUGAAAUGUGUAGAGAUCGAGAGGAACACCUGCGGCGAAGGCGGGUUGCUGGGCUGAUACUGACGCUGAGGCGCGAAGCCAGGGGAGCGAACGGG